UGCAGUCGAGCGACAGAGAAGGAGCUUGCUCCUUCGACGUUAGCGGCGGACGGGUGAGUAACACGUGGGCAACCUACCUUAUAGUUUGGGAUAACUCCGGGAAACCGGGGCUAAUACCGAAUAAUCUGUUUCACCUCAUGGUGAAACACUGAAAGACGGCAUCUCGCUGUCGCUAUAGGAUGGGCCCGCGGCGCAUUAGCUAGUUGGUGAGGUAACGGCUCACCAAGGCGACGAUGCGUAGCCGACCUGAGAGGGUGAUCGGCCACACUGGGACUGAGACACGGCCCAGACUCCUACGGGAGGCAGCAGUAGGGAAUCUUCCACAAUGGGCGAAAGCCUGAUGGAGCAACGCCGCGUGAGUGAAGAAGGAUUUCGGUUCGUAAAACUCUGUUGUAAGGGAAGAACAAGUACAGUAGUAACUGGCUGUACCUUGACGGUACCUUAUUAGAAAGCCACGGCUAACUACGUGCCAGCAGCCGCGGUAAUACGUAGGUGGCAAGCGUUGUCCGGAAUUAUUGGGCGUAAAGCGCGCGCAGGUGGUUUCUUAAGUCUGAUGUGAAAGCCCACGGCUCAACCGUGGAGGGUCAUUGGAAACUGGGAGACUUGAGUGCAGAAGAGGAUAGUGGAAUUCCAAGUGUAGCGGUGAAAUGCGUAGAGAUUUGGAGGAACACCAGUGGCGAAGGCGACUAUCUGGUCUGUAACUGACACUGAGGCGCGAAAGCGUGGGG
rnacentral:rRNA from 1 species